CCUACGGGAGGCAGCAGUAAGGGAUAUUGGUCAAUGGGGGAAACCCUGAACCAGCAACGCCGCGUGAGGGAUGACGGUUUUCGGAUUGUAAACCUCUGUUCUCAGUGAAGAUGAUGACGGUAGCAGAGGAGGAAGCUCCGGCUAACUCCGUGCCAGCAGCCGCGGUAAUACGUAGGGCGCGAGCGUUGUCCGGAUUUACUGGGUGGAAAGGGUGCGUAGGCGGGUUGGCAAGUCAGUAGUGAAAUCCAUGGGCUUAACCAAUGAACUGCUUUUGAAACUGUCGAUCUUGAGUGAGGUAGAGGUAGGCGGAAUUCCCGGUGUAGCGGUGAAAUGCGUAGAGAUCAGGAGGAACACCAAUGGCGAAGGCGGCCUACUGGGCCUUAACUGACGCUGAGGCACGAAAGCGUGGGUAGCAAACAGGAUUAGAUACCCUUGUAGUC
rnacentral:rRNA from 1 species